rnacentral:lncRNA from 1 species
GUAAUAAGGGAUACUGGAGAGAAACUGUCAAGGAGGACUGUGCCACUGAGAGAUGGUCAGGCUUUUUCCCUGAAGCAAGAAUAUUACCUUGAACAACCUUCCUGAAGCUCUGGAUUGAUACUUGAUACUCCGCAAAACAGGGUUUGCAGUUAAAAACACAAAUGAACAGGUAUACAUCAGCAUCUAUUGGUAAUGACAGCAGCAACACUUUCUCGAAAAGAAAAGCAGGAUCUGGCUACUCUGGGUCCAAGUCAUCUUGCUGCCUUUGAGGAGCACGUGCUGCAGCAGACGGCGUGUGGAGCCCCUGCCAGACAGGCGCAAGGGUUGGGCUUGCAGAUCUCAACAGCUCCAUUGCCAUGACGAAUGAAGCUGUCAGAGGAAGAUAUGAUUCUCUAGGCUUGGUCUACGGGUAACUCUGAUAGGUCUUAUGCAGGAUUUGACAAAGGACAAAAACUAGGGUCUGUUGAAGGAUCUGCUUAUAAAGCAUCCAAGAACACUACGGAGUACGUUAAGCCAAAUGUUUGUACAGCGACUGAGAAAAUCCAAUGCUAACUCUCCACUUUCAGUGCUGCAGUAUAAGUGCACUGCAGGAUCCCAAUGCAUUUUGGCUUCUGGUCAUCCAAAGAGUACUGCAUUAUUCUCGUGAAAGCCCUCAUGCUUGUUUCUCAGGGUGGUAACAUCCUCAGCUUAUGUAUUUACGGGAGUUUCAGGCACAUCCCUGCCAGAGCUUCCUUUGCAAAUUCUCCCAUAGCAGGGCUCAGAUAACAAACAGCCCUCCACUGGCACUUGACGCUUCCUUGUGCUACCCUUGAGCGCAUUUUGCCUCCCAUCCUCAAACUCCCUGGAGCCUGGUUCUGUGAUUUUAACUUCUCGUUUUCUUUGCUCCUAGCUGUAGACCUCAUCUCUUCUUCCACUUCUCCAUGGCUCUGGACAGCUGAGCUAAAGCAACAUGUAGAUAACUAACCAUAAACAAGCUCCUGGGAAUACUCCAGUAUUUGUGACCUUGUUUGUAGCAGGAGGAACAUAUUUGUUAUGCCUCCAUUUCAGAGAAGCUUAUUCAGCUUCCAGUGAUUAUUGCAUGGCCUUAAGCCUUGUAGGGGUUAUUUAAUAUUAUAUUUUCCUUGCUAACACAUGCCACAAUGCUGUACUUAUUAUUUAAAGCUUUUCUGCUAAAAAGCCAUUGUUCAUGAAUUAGUUUGAUAAGACUUGUAUAAAUACAGAGUUGUGACUUUGCGUGUGAACCAUUUAGCCUUUUUCAUAAGAAAUAAUUCCUAGUGUUAAGACUCCUCCCUGCCCCACAAAUCAAAUGUUUUUUUCCAGUAAUUCCUUCUCAAGGAAGAUGCCCCAGGAAAAUCUGCUU